CAUUUGACCAAUAGGACAAAACUGCCCCCCUCCUGUCAAUCUUCCGACACUGGGAGGGUCCGGGUAUACACUCCGGUCCUUGUCUGUUGACGAGACAGAAGGAGCGGGGCGUCCGAGGGUUUGAGGUCAUCUCAGCUGUAACUUUUCUGGACGCUACGACUGUAGUUUGGAGUCUGUUUCCGCUGCAGAUACAAGGACAUGCAUCACUUCUGACAAGGUAGCAUGGCCGCCCGCAGACUUCAGAAGGAAUUCACUGCUGCAUAAAGGUCAACUUCUCCAUGACUCUGGCCGCAAACAGAAUUCACUGGACCCCGGUCACGGAAACGCUGGGGCGUGUGCAGAUAUCACCCAGGAAAACAAACAAAAAAGCAAGAAAAGAAAAGAAACCAAUAGAGUAAAAAGUGGCCAGGUCACCCAAAAACACGUGAUACAAAACACACAAAUAAAACAUAAACCCCUCCAACAAAACAACACUUCUAUCACACAGUAAGAAUACGCAAAAUAAAGGACAGCAUCAUGUAGUCAAAGAAGUCUGCCUGUCUUAAAAAGUCCAAUGUACGGUGAGUUUUAUCUUCGCGUACUUUCUUUAUCAUCGAUGCGUCAGUCAUAGUCUAUAAAGUGACAUCUGAACAAACUGUAUCAGCUACAUGUCCAAGCUUAUCAUUCUUCACUGUAAGAAGUUAUAAGUUACCAAAUACAUCAAGAAACAUGUGACACGUUGGUCUUUAGUCUCCAGAAAGCUCAUUUGAAAUAUCUUUUAAAAGCUGCAAUGGUGUAUAAAAACUGCCCAAAGAAGCAACUUACAGUUCCUCAAUGUUACAUGCAAACGCCCGUCCCGCAAGUUCUUGUCAAAAACGAAUUCCCCUGGGAAUGCGUGCGUGGAAUAUUUAGAAUUCCUGGCAACUUAAUCGCAGUACUAUAAGAACGGCUCCGCCCCUGAGGCGUCGCCAAAAAGAAUU